UACGUAGGGCGCAAGCGUUGUUCGGAUUCAUUGGGCGUAAAGGGCGCGUAGGCGGCGGGGUCAGUCGGGUGUGAAAUCUUGGGGCUUAACCCCGAAACGGCACUCGAAACUGCCCGGCUGGAGGGCCGGAGAGGAGAUCGGAAUUCACGGUGUAGCAGUGAAAUGCGUAGAGAUCGUGAGGAAGACCCGUGGCGAAGGCGGAUCUCUGGACGGCUAACUGACGCUGAGGCGCGAAGGCCAGGGGAGCAAACGGG
rnacentral:rRNA from 1 species